rnacentral:pre_miRNA from 1 species
GAUGUACUCCCUCCGUUCGGAAUUACUUGUCACAAAAAUGGAUGUAUCUACAACUAAAAUACAUCUGGAUACAUUCAUUUCUUAGAUGAGUAAUUCCGAACGGAGGGAGUAAGAG